rnacentral:rRNA from 1 species
UACAGAGGGUGCAAGCGUUAAUCGGAAUUACUGGGCGUAAAGCGUGCGCAGUCGGUUAUUUAAGUCGGAUGUGAAAUCCCCGGGCUCAACCUGGGAAUUGCGUUGGAGACUGCAAGGCUGGAGUCUGGCAGAGGGGGGUAGAAUUCCACGUGUAGCAGUGAAAUGCGUAGAGAUGUGGAGGAACACCGAUGGCGAAGGCAGCCCCCUGGGUCAAGACUGACGCUCAUGCACGAAAG